GGAGGAAAGCAGGGGAUCGUAAGACCUCGCGUUAUUGGAGCGGCCGAUGCCGGAUUAGCUAGUUGGUGAGGUAAAGGCUCACCAAGGCGACGAUCCGUAGCUGGUCUGAGAGGACGACCAGCCACACUGGGACUGAGACACGGCCCAGACUCCUACGGGAGGCAGCAGUGGGGAAUUUUGGACAAUGGGGGAAACCCUGAUCCAGCCAUUCCGCGUGAGUGAAGAAGGCCUUCGGGUUGUAAAGCUCUUUCGCAAGGAAAGAAAACUUAUCUACUAAUACUAGGUGAGGUUGACGGUACCUUGAUAAGAAGCACCGGCUAACUACGUGCCAGCAGCCGCGGUAAUACGUAGGGUGCGAGCGUUAAUCGGAAUUACUGGGCGUAAAGCGUGCGCAGGCGGUUUCGUAAGUCUGAUGUGAAAUCCCCGGGCUCAACCUGGGAACUGCGUUUUGAAACUUACAAAAAA
rnacentral:rRNA from 1 species